GACGAACGCUGGCGGCGUGCUUAACACAUGCAAGUCGAACGGAAAGGCCCUGCUUUUGUGGGUUGCUCGAUUGGCGAACGGGUGAGUAACACGUGAGUAACCUGCCCUUGACUUUGGGAUAACUUCAGGAAACUGGGGCUAUUACCGGAUAGGAUCUCCUGCUGCAUGGUGGGGGUUGGAAAGUUUCGGCGGUAGUGGAUAGACUGGCGGCUUAUCAGCUGGUUGGUGGGGUAGUGGCUUUCCAAGGGUUCGACGGGUAGCCGGCCUGAGAGGGUUACCGGCGACCUGGGGACUGAGAGAGGGAGCAGACUCCAAUGGGAGGCAGCAGGGGGAAGUCUGGCACAAUGAGGGGAAGUCUGAUGCGACAACGCUGCGAGCGGGAUGACGGGCUACGGGUUAUAAACCGCUGUCGCCUGUGACGAAGCGUGCGUGACGGUAAUGGGUAAAGAAGCACCGGCUAACUACGUG
rnacentral:rRNA from 1 species